CCCUGCCUUGAAGUGCAUUUGUUGUUUGACUUAAAUCGACAGCUGUUGAAGUGGCAUACAAUGGACGGACCUGACAGGCAAAUCAUUUACUGCCUUAAAUG